AUAUCAAUAAGCGGAGGAAAAGAAACCAACAGGGAUUGCCCCAGUAACGGCGAGUGAAGCGGCAACGGCUCAAAUUUGAAAUCUGGCCCCCUCCGGGGUCCGAGUUGUAAUUUGCAGAGGAUGCUUCGGCGGGGGCCCCGGGUCAAGUCCCCUGGAACGGGGCGCCCGAGAGGGUGAGAGCCCCGUACUCACCCGGGUGUCCCCCCGCCCUACGAAGCUCCUUCGACGAGUCGAGUUGUUUGGGAAUGCAGCUCUAAGCGGGAGGUAAAUUUCUUCUAAGGCUAAAUACCUGCCAGAGACCGAUAGCGCACAAGUAGAGUGAUCGAAAGAUGAAAAGCACUUUGGAAAGAGAGUGAAAAAGCACGUGAAAUUGUUGAAAGGGAAGCUCUUGCCGCCAGACUUGCCGCGGUCGCUCAGUCGCCCCCCCGGGGGCGGUGCACUCUUCCGUCGGCAGGCCAGCGUCGGUUCGGGCGGUCGGAUAAAGGCCCCGGGAACGUGGCACCCUCCGGGGUGUGUUAUAGCCCGGGGUGCAAUGCGGCCAGCCCGGUCCGAGGUACGCGUUCGCGAGGACGCUGGCGUAAUGGUCGCAAGCGACCCGUCUUGAAACACGGACCAAGGAGUCUAACAUCUGUGCGAGUGUUUGGGCGUCAAACCCAUGCGCGCAAUGAAAGUGAACGGAGGUGGGAACCCCCCCGAGGGGCGCACCAUCGACCGAUCCUGAUGUCUUCGGAUGGAUUUGAGUAGGAGCACGGCUGUUGGGACCCGAAAGAUGGUGAACUAUUCCCGGAUAGGGUGAAGCCAGAGGAAACUCUGGUGGAGGCUCGCAGCGGUUCUGACGUGCAAAUCGAUCGUCAAAUCUAGGAAUAGGGGCGAAAGACUAAUCGAACCAU
rnacentral:rRNA from 1 species